CCGUGAUCUUGACUGUAUCUCUCUGUUAAUGCAACUUAAGGAUUGCGUUGGCUUUUUCAAGUUCCACAUUGAGACGGUGCCAGAUUUCUGGUGUGUAAAAAAAAAAAAAACGGCAGUGAUAAGCUACGGCUAAACCCAAUCCGGCUGAAAGGAAGUAUGAUCACCAGCCAACUCCUCCAGCGUGUGAAAAAGCCAGCGUGGUUGCAAAAGGAACAGAGCCUUUUCAGAUGGCUUUGUGAUUUAUCCGAGGAUUGAUAUCUUUCACCUUUCUGCUGAAGAGGAGGCCUUCGCUGUCAUAAAUCAAGUCGGGAGACUGAGUCGACAAAGCUCACAGCUCUUAGCCUAGCAAGGCAGGGAAAACUGCAGUUAGAGCACAUAGCCAAGUGACUGUGGAAAUGGAGUAGACGGGUCUACGAAAGGAGAAACCAGCUCGGGGAGAUAGCAGUUUGAAAACGACGAUAAAAAUGGAUCCAAGAGGCAACUCUGGAAGAAACAGUUAACACCCUGGUCCGUUGGAAGAAACAAGCCAGCAAAAUUAAACUUCCCUUCAUCAGAACUCCGGGAAAUUCUAUACUUCGCCCAGCAGGAAACUCUCUGCAAAGCAGGACGUUUCCAUUUAGAGUCUGUGCAUUCUGCAAGCACCCUGCUUUUUUCACCGCUGCCGACAGAGAACCUGAAAAUAAUUCACUCCAAGCGAAAGAAGAAGAAGGAGGGGAGGAGAAAUGCAGGCACAGCAGAACACAGAAGUUUAGAAGACCUUUUCCUACGCACGCGGGGAUCCAUCUUGAUCGAUAUUUCCAGAUGUUGCCUAGCACGAUCUUAUCUUCCGUGACCAAAGCCAACUCAUCCGUCUCGCAGCAACCGCACGAGAUAACCACAGCCGGAAUAUUUUAACAUAAUGCAACCACAGGCUCGUGCCAGUUUUCAUCUGCUCGGAGAGGUUCUUGGCCACGGUACAGAUUUCGACGACUUAAAAGAGGGGGGGGUCGUCGUGGUUUGCAGUGGA